UUAAGUUACAAAGGGCAUACGGUGGAUGCCUUGGCACCAAAAGGCGAUGAAGGACGUGGUUACCGACGAAAUGCACCGGUAAGGCGGAAACAGCCUCUGACCCGGUGAUGUCCGAAUGGGGCAACCCACUGCGAGUCAUGUCGCAGUACUCACUGCUGAAUCCAUAGGCAGUGCAGAGCCAACGGGGAGAAGUGAAACAUCUCAGUACCCCCAGGAAGAGAAAACAACCGUGAUUUCCUUAGUAGCGGCGAGCGAAAAGGAAACAGCCUAAACCUUCUGAUACGCUCAAGGGAGCGACCGUUGUAUCAGGGGUGUUGUGGGACACUCAGACCGAAGCGCUACUAGGUCAUGGAGUAACAAAUCAUUGUGCUAGCCGAAUCAUCUGGAAAGUUGAACCACAGAGGGUGAUAGUCCCGUACGUGAAAGCGCAGUGACUCCAGAGUGUAUCCCAAGUACCACGGAGCAGGUGAAAGUCUGUGGGAAUCCGCCAGAACCAUCUGGUAAGGCUAAAUACUCUUUGGUGACCGAUAGUGAACAAGUACCGUGAGGGAAAGGUGAAAAGCACUCCUAACAGGAGGGUGAAAUAGUACCUGAAACCGUGUGCUUACAAACGGUUGGAGCGAAUCCGCAGUGCUUGCAUUGCGGAGGAGUGACAGCGUGCCUUUUGCUUAAUGAGCCUACGAGUUGCUGGUAUGGUGCAAGGUUAAUGGCCUCAGGUCAGUAGCCGCAGCGAAAGCAAGUCCGAAAUGGGCGCCUGCCCGCCGCAAGGCGGGAUUCAGUACCAUGCCGCAGACGCGAACCCGUGUGAUCUACCCUUGGUCAGGGUGAAGUGAGGGUAACACCUCAUGGAGGCCCGAACUGAUGUGGGUUGAAAACCGCUCGGAUGAACUGAGGGUAGGAGCGAAAGACCAAUCAAACUCGGAGAUAGCUCGUACUCCCCGAAAUAGCUUUAGGGCUAGCCUCGGGCAAGAGUGUCGCGGAGGUAGAGCACUGAUUGGGCUAGGGUCGUCACAACGAUACCAAACCCAGACAAACUCCGAAUUCCGUUGACAUGUUUCCCGGGAGUCAGGCGACGAGGGAUAAGCUUCGACGCCGAGAGGGGAAUAACCCAGACCGCCGGCUAAGGUCCCCAAAUCGGGACUAACAGAGAAAGGAUGUUAAGUUGCUCAGACAACUAGGAUGUUGGCUUAGAAGCAGCCAUUCAUUUAAAGAGUGCGUAAUAGCUCACUAGUCAAGCGACUUGGCGCCGACAAUACUCGGGACUAAAGUCCUGUACCGAAGCUGCGGAUAGGCCGGUCCUCGGAUCGGCCCUGUGGUAGGGGAGCAUUCCAUCGACAGCGAAGGUGUGGCGCGAGCCAUGCUGGAGUUGAUGGAAACGAAGAUGUAGGCAUAAGUAACGAUAAUCCAGGUGAAAAACCUGGACACCGAAAAUCUAAGGUUUCCUGAGCAACGUUAAUCGUCUCAGGGUUAGUCGGACCCUAAGGUGAGGCCGAAAGGCGUAGCCGAUGGAAAACAGGCGCAAUAUUCCUGUACCACUGUGUAGUCGUUUGACCAUAAGGGGUGACGCAGAAGUGAAGUCGGGCCACCUGUUGGAUUAGGUGGUUUAAGCCCGUAGGCGUUCCGGGUUGGCAAAUCCGCCCGGAAGCUAUCGCCGAGAGGUGAACAGGGUGCCCGCAAGGGCCACAACUCGACGUAAUCAUGCUGCCGAGAAAAACCUCGUAUGGGAGACUGCACGGUGCCCGUACCGCAAACCGACACAGGUAGAUGGGGUGAAAAUCCUAAGGUGCUCGAGUGAGCCGUGGUUAAGGAACUCGGCAAAUUGACCCCGUAACUUCGGGAUAAGGGGUGCCCAUAGUACGUGAGGAUGCACAAUCCAAGCGGAAUUGGGCCGCAGUGAAAUGGGCCAAGCGACUGUUUAUCAAAAACACAUCUCUCUGCUAAGCCGUGAAGGCGACGUAUAGGGAGUGACACCUGCCCGGUGCCGGAAGGUUAAGGAAGCGGGUUAUCCGCCGCAAGGCGGAGAAGCUCGCGACCGAAGCCCCGGUAAACGGCGGCCGUAACUAUAACGGUCUUGAACGCUACCAAUCAUCAAGGGCCGUUGUAAAAUCUGGCUAUAUGCUGGGAUCUCUGUGAAUACCAUUCGUACCGAGAAGGUGAAAAUCGAUGGUUGCAGACAAUCAGCAGGAAAGACUUUCACUGACCGAGCAGCAAAAGUGGUUUCUGGCAGGACUCAUCGAAGGCGAAGGAAGUGUCUGUGUUUCCAUUAAAGCCCAUCCUACCGCAAAGUUCGGAUACUAUGUCGACCCUGAGUUUUUCCUGUACCAACUCAGCGAAUACCGACAGGUUCUCGAACUCGCGAAGAUGGUCUUCGGAACCGGACAUAUCCGACCGAAACCCGGGAAUGAAGAUGUCCUGGUGUUUUCGAUCGAAAGCCGACGAAGCCUGGCAGAGCGCGUCGUUCCGUACCUGCGUACCUACAUGAAACAUUCGGCCCGACCCUCCACAUUCGAAACGUUUUGUGAGAUUGUCGAAGCCAUGGAGCGCAAGGAACAUCACACGCCACAAGGGAUGAUUCGCAUUGUUGAGAAAGCAUACGCGAUGAAUCCCACUGCGAAAAGCAAGGAGCGAAAACGCUCCCUGCAGGAAGUCAGAGAAAGAAUCCUCAGAGACUCUACGCCAGACUCCGGAUACCGGAGAAGAUAGAGUCCGAUCUCUGCAGCGAUGCAGAGCUAACACAGAUACCUAAGGUAGCGAAAUUCCUUGUCGGGUAAGUUCCGACCUGCACGAAUGGUGUAACGAUUUGGUCACUGUCUCAACCACGGGCUCGGUGAACUUGUGGUACCGGUGAAGACGCCGGUUACCCGCACAUGGACGGAAAGACCCCGUGCACCUUUACUGCACCCUAGCAUUGGGUUCGGUCAAAACAUGUGUAGCAUAGGUGGGAGACGUUGAAGCCGGGGCGCUAGCCUCGGCGGAGUCGCCAGUGAAAUACCACCCUUGUUCUGAUUGAAUUCUAACCUGCUGCCGUGAAUCCGGUGGAGGGACAAUGUUAGGCGGGUAGUUUGACUGGGGCGGUCGCCUCCUAAAUCGUAACGGAGGCUCUCAAAGGUUCCCUCAGCAUGGUCGGUAAUCAUGCGGCGAGUGUAAAGGCACAAGGGAGCUUAACUGCGAGACCUACAAGUCGAGCAGAUGCGAAAGCAGGACUUAGUGAUCUGCCGGUUCCGAGUGGAAGGGCCGGCACUUAAAGGAUAAAAGGUACGCCGGGGAUAACAGGCUGAUCUGGCCCAAGAGUUCAUAUCGACGGCCAGGUUUGGCACCUCGAUGUCGGUUCAUCGCAUCCUGGGGCUGGAGAAGGUCCCAAGGGUUUGGCUGUUCGCCAAUUAAAGCGGUACGUGAACUGGGUUCAGAACGUCGUGAGACAGUUCGGUCCCUAUCCUGUGCGGGCGUAGGAAGCUUGAAGGGCGUCGCUCCUAGUACGAGAGGACCAGAGUGAACGGACCGACGGUGUAUGAGUUGUCACGCCAGUGGCACUGCUCAGUAGCCAUGUCCGGACGGGAUAAGCACUGAAAGCAUCUAAGUGCGAAACCCACCCUAAGAUGAGGCUUCCCCUCUCCGCUUCGGCGGAGACUAAAGACCCCAAGGAGAUGACUUGGUUGAUAGGCCGCAGAUGAAAACGCAGUAAUGCGUGAGUCGAGCGGUACUAAUCGGUCGUGAGACUUAACCA
rnacentral:rRNA from 1 species